rnacentral:rRNA from 1 species
UACGGGGGGGGCAAGCGUUGUUCGGAAUUACUGGGCGUAAAGGGCUCGUAGGCGGCCAACUAAGUCAGACGUGAAGUCCCUCGGCUUAACCGGGGAACUGCGUCUGAUACUGGAUGGCUUGAAUCCGGGAGAGGGAUGCGGAAUUCCAGGUGUAGCGGUGAAAUGCGUAGAUAUCUGGAGGAACACCGGUGGCGAAGGCGGCAUCCUGGACCGGCAUUGACGCUGAGGAGCGAAAGCCAGGGGAGCAAACAGG